rnacentral:misc_RNA from 1 species
GGAGGACAGCACCGCCGCCCGCACUGCGCCUGCUGCCACAUGCGCCCGUGGCGCCUGCGAGCAUGCGCGCACACGGACGGCGAGGGGAGACGCGACAGCACCCAUCGGUGGAGCUGCGCCCUGUGCUGUGAAGCUCUUGUUUCAGUGCCCUCCCUGCCGUGCCGCCGCAACCGCGCCGCGACGACGGCUGCCACGCUACCGCGGAGGACGGUGCCGCCUGAUGCCGACGCGGGCGUCGAGGCCUACCGGCACCGCGUAGCCCGCAGAGCUGACAUCGGCGGCGGCGGCGUCUUGCCGAGAUGCGGAGGCGUGUGCGACGACAGGCGAUGCUGACGCGCUUCUCCUGCCCGCACCGCGUCUGGACCGGCCAGCGGUGGGCUGGGCGCCCCUGCCGUGGCGGCGCGCGAUGGGCGCCGGCGUCGUGCGACUGCCACACCCUCGCCACGGCCGGGCGCUCCCGUGCUUCGUGGUGCGCGAUCCGGUUGCCUGCGCCGUGGCGAGGCCGCGCACGCCGACGCUGCCUUGCCCGGCGUAUGCCUCGUCCCCGCUGCUGUGGGAGGUGCGGGCGCACGCGCCGCCAAGCGGCUUUGCGCGGAGCUGGCUUGUGAAGGGGCGCGCUGUCCCGAGCACCGUCGGCGCUGGCGAGCUGCUGGCCGCGAGGUCGCUGGACCUGACCUUCUCUGCGCUCCAUGAGCUGCUCGGCGAUGCACAGCGCUGCGACCGCGUGGCGCGCACCUUCAUGCCAGCGGCAGGCCUGCGCCGGGCCGGGGGCAUGGCCUUCUCAGCUCGCGCCACCGCCACCGCUGCUGGCUGCGAGGCCGCGGCGCCGGUGGCGAGGACUGGCGGCCGCCGAGGUCCGCGUGUGCGCGGCUGACGGCCGAGCUUUCCGCCUGGAGUGGAGCGGAUGGCACGCACGUGGGGUGCGGGUGCCCGCACGGCUGGACGGCUGACCCGCGGUCGCGGCCGGCGGCGUCGUCCAUGUGCUCUGCCACGCCUCACAGGUGGGCUGGCUGGGCACGUGCAGCAGCAGCGCGCCCGCUCCUCCUGCGCGGCUGCGUGGGCGUGCCUGAGUCCGACGGCGUGCUGCGGCGGCUGUGCGAGGCCCGUGAAGUCGGCGGUAGCGUCUCUGCGCAGACGGCGUCCUGUGAUGCGCCCGCCGACAGCCGCCACGCUGUGCACCACAGGCCAUCCGAGUCGGUGGCGGUGGGGUGGCUGACGAGACAAGUAGAGCGCGUGCGCGCCUCUGCGGUGCUGCUGCGACGGCGACGGCGGCUGCGCCCGCCGAGGCGUGCGUGGGGGCCGCCAUGGCUGUUGCGCUUGGGGUGGUGGCCGAGUACGUGCCGGUCCGGCUGCACGCGGCUCUUGCGGUGGCCUGCGGUCUCGCCGACCCCGCGGCGGCACCAGCCUGCUCGCCGACAGCGGCGGCGUGACGCGACUGGAGAAGGCUGGGCAGCGGAAGGGCACGCCCCCCUUGCUGGCCGUGCUCGGCGAGAGGAAGCCGAGGACGGAGGGUGGCGCGCCGUGGGCGUGGCGUGGGCGCACGACGGGCCUCGCCAUGGCGGCGCGACGCACUGCGUGUGCCGUGCGGGGUGGGCGAGCAAGGGUGUGCGGGAGGGCGGCCGCGUGCGUGGGGACAGGUGCAACUGUCCGUCCCGCCCCCGAUGCGGGUGGAGCGCGCUGGAGCCCGUCUGUAUGCGCAUGCGCGCUGCUGCUGUGGCCAGCCUCCCUUCUGCGCCACCGCGUCGCAGGCGGCACCGCUGCGUUGAGACACGGCGCGCGCCGGUGGGUGGGGUGAGGCCGGGAAUGACUUCUGCUUGGCUUGCUUGCAUGCGAGCAUGCUGGCGGGUUGCUGGCUGGGCGGACUCGGCACGGUGCACCCCAUCCCUCCUCCCUGCGGUCGCCUCGUGUGCGGCGAGAGUGUGCUCUCGCCUUGGCGGUGGCGGCGUGCGUGCGAGCGUUCUCUCCUGCUGGCGCACGUCGGCCGUGCAUCCGCGUGCCGGCGCUGGUGGGCGAGCUGGGCGAGGGGAGGAGAGGUACACACAGCGAGGCCGAGAGCGAACGUGGAGCCUGUGGUGUGCGCAGGGGUGUGGGCCAUGCGCACGGGAGAGGUGAGGCGAAGGGGGCCGCGACUACACACUGCACCGAGUGCGAGCUGUGUGGACAGAGUGGAGGCCUCAUGUGGGUGCUGGGCCCUCCAUGAUUUGUCGCGUUCCCCACCCACAUGCGACAGUUGCCGGCGCCCGCUCCCCCGCUCCUUGCGGUGCGCGCCACGUAGUCGCUCCUUUCUUCCCGCCGCAUACGUGACGACGCUGGUGGCAGGGGGACACCUGGUGCGCGGCGCGCAGUGGUGCCGCGCUCUCUGUCUGGGGAGGCGGAGCGGCCCCUCCUCCCUCCCCCCUCAUCCCUGCGCAUGCGGGGCGGCUUGUGGUGGUGGCAGGGGUAGGCCCCUGCGGCGUAGGGGGAGGCGAGGGCGAUGCGUCGCGGCCGGUGUCGGCGGUGAGGUUGUGGAUGGCGUGGCGCCGGAGCGACGUGCGGCAGUGGACACGCUUGUGCUGUCCGCAUGGCGGGCGAGGGGUGAACGGGGCUCGGGCGUCUCCCACCCUGCCGUUGCUGCCUGCUGGUGGGGAGCCUGAGCCACGCCGAGGGGGACGCACGGGGUGGCUGCCGGCACGGUGUGCGCUGCUGUGGGGCGCCCUGCGUGGGGGAUGGGUGGGCAGAGGCUGUGCAGGGGACCGUGCGCAUGUUGCUGGGCCGCGCGCGGGGGCGGCGCGGGGUGUAGCGUGGCGCCGGCCUGCUGCUGUAGGGCGGAGGCAUGGACGCGUCGAAGGGGAGCUGCUUGCGCUGUGGCAGACAUCGCCACCCCGGGUGCCGCCUGGCACUCGCCGCUGUCCCCAUCUGCCACGUGCGGCCACCCACGCAUGCGGGCGGCGAGCGACAUCGGCACUCAUGAGGGUUUUGUGUCCUGUGCUUCCACACCCCCAGCGCGCUUGGGCAGCGCGCCCAUGCAGCGGUGGGGGCCUCAUGGGCAGAGGGGGUGCGCGCGCCACUGCCUGCUCUCUUGUCCCCGCGUGUCCUCCCUCGGUGAUGGGGGCGAGCAAGCGAGUGCCCCUCGCCGGCCUCUCCCGCCCCACCGAGCAGCGAGAGACACACGUGAGCCACAACGGCGGCCUCGGCUGUGCUGCCUGUGCGUGGCGAGCGGGCGCGUGCAGCCGCAUCCUUCCCCCGCGUGUGCGCACACACCCGUCGGUGGGCGGUGCCGGCGUCUUGCGCGGCGUUGCUCGGCGGCCGCUUUUCCUUUGCUCUCGUCGACUCUGGCGCAGGGUGGUGAGGGCUGCCACCCGGACACGCCCAGGCUGGCGUGGCUGAAGGCAUCGCCGCUGUAGCCGCAACGGGUACGAGUGCGCGCGAGCAGGCGCAGCAGCAGUGGCGGCUGUGGUGCGGGGGUGGUGUUUCCGCCUCCCCCUCUCGGCGUCACUGGCGCCCCGACCAUGCGUAGCGCGUGGUCGUGCUGCCCGUGCUGCUGUCUUGAACCGUGCUUGAUGCUUGCUCCCACUGCGACGCACUUGGCCACUGCCCUGCCGCUCAUCGUUAUUGGUUUCAUGGAGGUGCUCGUGCCGCGUCGCAAGCUCUGCACACACACACACACACACUCAUGCAUGCGCGCACGGGAGUGAGGGGGAGCCGCAGCGACCGAUCGGACGGAGCGGGCGGGCGGAGGGGGGCGCUUCCGCCCGCUGGCCGUGCUCUCUGUUUCGCUGGCCGGCCUCUCUACGCCGCUGGCGUGGGCGGAGCUCCGCGCUGCGUAUCGCUCGCCCCUCCCUGCCCCUCGCCUCCUCCUCCUCAUGUGCACUGCUCCCUCCCUCUCCCUCCCUCUCCCUCCCUCUCCCUCCCUCUACACUCCUCGCUGUCCCCUCGGCCGACCUCCACGGACACGCAG